rnacentral:rRNA from 1 species
UACGUAGGGUGCAAGCGUUGUCCGGAAUUAUUGGGCGUAAAGAGCUUGUAGGCGGUUUGUCGCGUCUGCUGUGAAAUUUCGGGGCUCAACCCCGAACUUGCAGUGGGUACGGGCAGACUAGAGUGUGGUAGGGGAGACUGGAAUUCCUGGUGUAGCGGUGAAAUGCGCAGAUAUCAGGAGGAACACCGAUGGCGAAGGCAGGUCUCUGGGCCACUACUGACGCUGAGGAGCGAAAAGCGUGGGGGAGCGAACAGG